UUGAACGCUGGCGGCAGGCCUAACACAUGCAAGUCGAACGGUAACAGGAAGAAGCUUGCUUCUUUGCUGACGAGUGGCGGACGGGUGAGUAAUGUCUGGGAAACUGCCUGAUGGAGGGGGAUAACUACUGGAAACGGUAGCUAAUACCGCAUAACGUCGCAAGACCAAAGAGGGGGACCUUCGGGCCUCUUGCCAUCGGAUGUGCCCAGAUGGGAUUAGCUAGUAGGUGGGGUAACGGCUCACCUAGGCGACGAUCCCUAGCUGGUCUGAGAGGAUGACCAGCCACACUGGAACUGAGACACGGUCCAGACUCCUACGGGAGGCAGCAGUGGGGAAUAUUGCACAAUGGGCGCAAGCCUGAUGCAGCCAUGCCGCGUGUAUGAAGAAGGCCUUCGGGUUGUAAAGUACUUUCAGCGGGGAGGAAGGGAGUAAAGUUAAUACCUUUGCUCAUUGACGUUACCCGCAGAAGAAGCACCGGCUAACUCCGUGCCAGCAGCCGCGGUAAUACGGAGGGUGCAAGCGUUAAUCGGAAUUACUGGGCGUAAAGCGCACGCAGGCGGUUUGUUAAGUCAGAUGUGAAAUCCCCGGGCUCAACCUGGGAACUGCAUCUGAUACUGGCAAGCUUGAGUCUCGUAGAGGGGGGUAGAAUUCCAGGUGUAGCGGUGAAAUGCGUAGAGAUCUGGAGGAAUACCGGUGGCGAAGGCGGCCCCCUGGACGAAGACUGACGCUCAGGUGCGAAAGCGUGGGGAGCAAACAGGAUUAGAUACCCUGGUAGUCCACGCCGUAAACGAUGUCGACUUGGAGGUUGUGCCCUUGAGGCGUGGCUUCCGGAGCUAACGCGUUAAGUCGACCGCCUGGGGAGUACGGCCGCAAGGUUAAAACUCAAAUGAAUUGACGGGGGCCCGCACAAGCGGUGGAGCAUGUGGUUUAAUUCGAUGCAACGCGAAGAACCUUACCUGGUCUUGACAUCCACGGAAGUUUUCAGAGAUGAGAAUGUGCCUUCGGGAACCGUGAGACAGGUGCUGCAUGGCUGUCGUCAGCUCGUGUUGUGAAAUGUUGGGUUAAGUCCCGCAACGAGCGCAACCCUUAUCCUUUGUUGCCAGCGGUCCGGCCGGGAAAUCAAAGGAGACUGCCAGUGAUAAACUGGAGGAAGGUGAGGAUGACGUCAAGUCAUCAUGGCCCUUACGACCAGGGCUACACACGUGCUACAAUGGCGCAUACAAAGAGAAGCGACCUCGCGAGAGCAAGCGGACCUCAUAAAGUGCGUCGUAGUCCGGAUUGGAGUCUGCAACUCGACUCCAUGAAGUCGGAAUCGCUAGUAAUCGUGGAUCAGAAUGCCACGGUGAAUACGUUCCCGGGCCUUGUACACACCGCCCGUCACACCAUGGGAGUGGGUUGCAAAAGAAGUAGGUAGCUUAACCUUCGGGAGGGCGCUUACCACUUUGUGAUUCAUGACUGGGGUG
rnacentral:rRNA from 1 species